rnacentral:rRNA from 1 species
GACGAACGCUGGCGGCGUGCUUAACACAUGCAAGUCGAACGGAAAGGCCCUGCUUUUGUGGGGUGCUCGAGUGGCGAACGGGUGAGUAACACGUGAGUAACCUGCCCUUGACUUUGGGAUAAAUUCAGGAAACUGGGGCUAAUACCGCAUAUGAGCUCCUGCUGCAUGGUGGGGGUUGGAAAGUUUCGGCGGUUGGGGAUGGACUCGCGGGGUAUCAGCUUGUUGGUGGGGUAGUGGCUUACCAAGGCUUUGACGGGUAGCCGGCCGGAGAGGGUGACCGGCGACAUUGGGACUGAGAUACGGCCCAGACUCCUACGGGAGGCAGCAGUGGGGAAUAUUGCACAAUGGGAGGAAGCCUGAUGCAGCAACGCCGCGUGCGGGAUGACGGCCUUCGGGUUGUAAACCGCUUUCGCCUGUGACGAAGCGUGAGUGACGGUAAUGGGUAAAGAAGCACCGGCUAACUACGUG